CAGCCGCCGCGGGAAUACGAAGGGUGCAAGCGUUACUCGGAAUUACUGGGCGUAAAGCGUGCGUAGGUGGUGGUUUAAGUCCGUUGUGAAAGCCCUGGGCUCAACCUGGGAAUUGCAGUGGAUACUGGGUCACUAGAGUGUGGCAGAGGAUAGUGGAAUUUCCGGUGUAGCAGUGAAAUGCGUAGAGAUCGGAAGGAACAUCUGUGGCGAAGGCGACUAUCUGGGCCAACACUGACACUGAGGCACGAAAGCGUGGGGAGCAAACAGGAUUAGAUACCCGAGUAGUCCCUGUCUCUUAUAC
rnacentral:rRNA from 1 species